rnacentral:rRNA from 1 species
UGUGUGUAAAAACCACAUGAGUAACUGGAGGUCAAGGCUGGUGCCAGCAUCCGCGGUAAUACCAGCUCCAGGAGUGUCUAUGAUGAUUGCUGCGAUUAAAAGGUCCGUAGUCGAAGAACAGUACUUGUUUGUAAUGUGGCUUAUCGAGAGCCGAAUAGAACGAGAAGAGUUCAGAGUAAGGAGCGAAGGAGGGCUAGAUUAUUGAGCAGCGAGAGGUGAAAUUUGAUGACCUGCUUAGGAGUAACAGAGGCGAAAGCGCUAGUCAAGAACGAAUCCGAUGAUCAAGGACGUAGGCUGGAGGAUCGAAGACGAUUAGAGACCGUAGUAGUUCCAGCAGUAAACGAUGCCUACGCUGUUGUGGUUAUGAGCACGGCAGAAGAGAAAUCUAGUAGGGCUUUGGGGAGAGUACGCGCGCAAGCGAUAAAUUUAAAGGAAAUUGACGGAAGAACACCACAAGGAGUGGAGUGUGCGGCUUAAUUUGACUCAACGCGGGACAGCUUACCAUACCCGAUGGCCGUGUGAGCGUAGUACGCGAUAGGUCAGAGAGUGGUGCAUGGCCGUUAACGACGAGUGGGGUGACCUUUGGGUUAAGUCCGCGAAGUAGUGAGAUCCCUAGGAUACGAAAGUUAUCGACAGGUGUUAAAAACACAGGAAGGAAGGGGCAAGAACAGGUCAGUGAUGCCCUUAGAUGGUAUGGGCUGCACGCGCACUACAGUGGUCACAGCAGAAACGGAUAGAAGUAAAUGUGAUCGAGAGGGAAUGAGCACUGUAAUGUGCACAGGAACGAGGAAUUG